rnacentral:lncRNA from 1 species
GUUUCUGAGGAGAUGCAGGGAGAUUUGUAAAGGUCUGUUUUUUCCUGAAAUGUCUGAGGAGUACAGUAGCAUGCUCAAAUGAACUACUCUACUCUUCAGACGAUUAAGGAGUAAAUGCAGUCAAGGCGAAUGUGGUCGGUCACCAUGGCACCACAACUUGAGAAAGCAAUAUCGUAAGACGGAGAUUGGCACAGUGCCCUGUGGACCUUGACCGUACUCUUCAGUGUUCCUGGCACUUAUUUUAGGAUGGUAAUGAAGCUACUGUGUAGUCAGCUUUCUAUCACUAACAAGAUGCCUGCGAUAAUAAAAUUAUAAGGAAGGAAGCUUUGUUUCGAUUCACAGAUUUGGAGGUUCCAGUCCUUGGUAAGAAG